rnacentral:rRNA from 1 species
UAGGGAAUCUUCGGCAAUGGGGGGAACCCUGACCGAGCAACGCCGCGUGAGUGAAGAAGGUUUUCGGAUCGUAAAGCUCUGUUGUUAAGGAAGAACGAGUGUGAGAAUGGAAAGUUCAUACUGUGACGGUACUUAACCAGAAAGGGACGGCUAACUACGUGCCAGCAGCCGCGGUAAUACGUAGGUCCCGAGCGUUGUCCGGAUUUAUUGGGCGUAAAGCGAUCGCAGGCGGUUAGAUAAGUCUGAAGUUAAAGGCAGUGGCUCAACCAUUGUAGGCUUUGGAAACUGUUUAACUUGAGUGCAGAAGGGGAGAGUGGAAUUCCAUGUGUAGCGGUGAAAUGCGUAGAUAUAUGGAGGAACACCGGUGGCGAAAGCGGCUCUCUGGUCUGUAACUGACGCUGAGGCUCGAAAGCGUGGGGAGCGAACAGG